rnacentral:rRNA from 1 species
CCCAAAAAAGACAGUCUCAGUUCGGAUUGAAGGCUGAAAUUCGCCUUCAUGAAGCCGGAAUUGCUAGUAAUGGCAGGUCAGCAUACUGCCGUGAAUACGUUCCCGGGCCUUGUACACACCGCCCGUCACACCAUGAGAGUUGGGGAUACCCGAAGCCUGUGAGCUAACAGUAAUGAAGCAGCAGUACGAAGGUAGAAUCAAUGAUUGGGGUGAAGUCGUAACAAGGUACC